UAAACACAGCAUAGUAGUAAACACGAUACUAUUCGCCAGAGAACUACAAGCAAAAAGCUAAAAACUCCAAGGAUUUGGCGGUGCUUCAAAUCAACCUAGAGGAGCCUGUCCUAUAAUCGAUACCCCACGUUUUACCUUACCCCUUCUAGCAAUCAGCCUAUAUACCGCCGUCGUCAGCUUACCUUAUGAAAGAAAUAGAGUAAGCAAAAAAGUUAAUAACUAACACGUCAGGUCAAGGUGUAGCACAUGGAGCGGCAGAGAUGGGCUACAUUUUUUCCAAAGGAAACACGAAUAGUAAAUUGAAACACACACUUGAAGGCGGAUUUAGUAGUAAAAUAAGCAAGAAUGAUCACUUUAAACCUGCUCUGAAGCGCGCACACACCGCCCGU
rnacentral:rRNA from 1 species